AAUGGGGGAAACCCUGAUGCAGCCAUGCCGCGUGUGUGAAGAAGGCCUUCGGGUUGUAAAGCACUUUCAGCGAGGAGGAAAGGGUGGCAGCUAAUACCUGUCAUCUGUGACGUUACUCGCAGAAGAAGCACCGGCUAACUCCGUGCCAGCAGCCGCGGUAAUACGGAGGGUGCAAGCGUUAAUCGGAAUAACUGGGCGUAAAGCGCACGCAGGCGGUUAGAUAAGUCAGAUGUGAAAGCCCCGGGCUCAACCUGGGAACUGCAUUUGAAACUGUCUGACUAGAGUCUUGUAGAGGGGGGUAGAAUUCCAGGUGUAGCGGUGAAAUGCGUAGAGAUCUGGAGGAAUACCGGUGGCGAAGGCGGCCCCCUGGACAGAGACUGACGCUCAGGUGCGAAAGCGUGGGGAGCAAA
rnacentral:rRNA from 1 species